rnacentral:rRNA from 1 species
UACGUAGGGCGCGAGCGUUGUCCGGAAUCAUUGGGCGUAAAGAGCUCGUAGGCGGCCGGUUGCGUCUGCUGUGAAAUCCCGGGGCUUAACCCCGGGCGUGCAGUGGAUACGGGCUGGCUGGAGGCAGGCAGGGGAGAAUGGAAUUCCCGGUGUAGCGGUGAAAUGCGCAGAUAUCGGGAGGAACACCGGUGGCGAAGGCGGUUCUCUGGGCCUGUGCUGACGCUGAGGAGCGAAAGCGUGGGGAGCGAUCCGG